GCACCGGCUAACUCCGUGCCAGCAGCCGCGGUAAUACGGAGGGUGCGAGCGUUAAUCGGAAUAACUGGGCGUAAAGGGCACGCAGGCGGCUAUUUAAGUGAGGUGUGAAAUCCCCGGGCUUAACCUGGGAAUUGCAUUUCAGACUGGGUAGCUAGAGUACUUUAGGGAGGGGUAGAAUUCCACGUGUAGCGGUGAAAUGCGUAGAGAUGUGGAGGAAUACCGAAGGCGAAGGCAGCCCCUUGGGAAUGUACUGACGCUCAUGUGCGAAAGCGUGGGGAGCAAACAGGAUUAGAUACCCUGGUAGUCCACGCUGUAAACGCUGUCGAUUUGGGGAUUGGGCUUUAAGCUUGGUGCCCGUAGCUAACGUGAUAAAUCGACCGCCUGGGGAGUACGGCCGCAAGGUUAAAACUCAAAUGAAUUGACGGGGGCCCGCACAAGCGGUGGAGCAUGUGGUUUAAUUCGAUGCAACGCGAAGAACCUUACCUACUCUUGACAUCCAUGGAAUUCUGUAGAGAUACGGAAGUGCCUUCGGGAACCAUGAGACAGGUGCUGCAUGGCUGUCGUCAGCUCGUGUUGUGAAAUGUUGGGUUAAGUCCCGCAACGAGCGCAACCCUUAUCCUUUGUUGCCAGCGAUUCGGUCGGGAACUCAAAGGAGACUGCCGGUGAUAAACCGGAGGAAGGUGGGGAUGACGUCAAGUCAUCA
rnacentral:rRNA from 1 species